GCUCAAGCGGAGCUUCGGCGCGGGCGGCGGUGGCGGUGGGGGAGGCCCCGGCCCCGCCUGAGAGGCUGGUUGGGGCCAUUACGGCCUGCAGUGCACUUCGGGCGCUGACAGGGUUCUUUGUUUGUUUUGUGUUUGUUUUUUUGUUUUUGUUUGUUUGGUUUGUUUUUUUGUUUGUUUUGCUUGUUGUUUGUUUGUUUGUUUCUUUGUUUUUUGCUCGCACUCGCAGGCUGACCCUGCAGGUCUCUGUUUGCAGCUUUCCACACAGCCGCAGCUCCUGGAGCCGACGCGCGGCAAGGGGACGUCAGCUGUCCUUAGAGCAAAUCUGCGCUUCUGCAGCCUGCGUGCAUCUGGAAGACGAAUCAGACGUGUUAUUUGAGUGCAUCUGAAAGGCCUAGUUACCAAAGGGAGCUGCAAAAUACCGCAUUGAUGCUUCACUUUGAUUUUGUUGGUGAGACUGUUGCACCACAUUUAUUUGGCUGUGGCUUCUCAUUCUCUGCCAACUGGAGUGCUUGCCCCUGCUGUCCUCAGAGGAAAGCUCUAGGAGACUCAAUGCUGCUGGCUGGAGUGCUGGAGGGUUCAGCCACAGGUUUUUUCCCUCUCUGCUUUGUCCCCUUUCCUCAUGGGACAUCUAGAUCUUCCUGCUAUCCCAAGACCACAUGCACAAAUGCCUUUACAGCUGUGACUUUACCUUCUGGCUGUGAUUCACUGAGCUGCAACACAGCUUACUCAAGAAGUGCUACUCAGCUGAGCCAGAGGCUUCAAACGGGAUGCUGGCAUAAUAUCCCUCAGCUCUACCUAGGAUGUUGCAUUCUGGUGGAUGGCUUAGAACUUGGUUUCCUCUCAGCUAGAUGAACCUUCGGUCUGAAGCAGUAUGCCUUGUCCAUACAGUCCUUCACUGGCAAGUUGCUUUGACCAAAAUGAACAGAGGCAGGAAACAAAUGCCAAACGAGUGUGGAAUUUAAUCAGUUGUGAAGGGAAUAACUGAAACAGUGUGCUUGGAGCCAGAUAGAAGACACCGAAGUGUCAGCUUCUGACUUCAUCCAAAUCAGGCUUACUUCAUAUUAUCAGUUGGAAAGUGGAUGGCAGACAUCAUUACGCUCACUCCAGUGUCCCGCUGCGCUCCCAGAAAGGUCGAAGUGUCAGUGAGAUGCAUGUCCAAACAGUGAUAAGAAGCCUGCCCUUAUGCGGAUGCAGCAUUGACUUGCAGCCCUGCUGCUGUAAUGUGUUAAGCAUCUUUGUGUUGGCCUGACUUGAGAAUCGAGUAGGACUGUGUCUGAGAAACUUGCAGUGAUGUAUUUUGCCACUGCAAAUCAUUUUUAUAUGUCUCAUGGAAGAAUGGGCCAAGGCUGUGCGUGUUGUUGCUAGAAGUGACCAGAACAUUUCAGAGAAUAAUACUGGACUGAUCUGUUGUAAAUAUUUGUAAGUUUUGACGUAUUUCGGAAUAAUUUUUUGAAUGUUGCAAUGAUAUUCUUGAUUUUAUCACAAUUCUUAUGAAAUAGCAAGAAUUCUCACGUAUCCAGCAUCUUACAGAAAGGAAGUCAGAACACACUGAGAUCUUCUGCUCAGAAUUUUACUCCUGGAUUAUAAGUUCAAAAAAGCAAGCAAACAAGUCAAAAGCAGGAUGUAAGGAGAAGAACAUUCAGAAGGAGCAGACUUCUGAAAGCUGGAACAGCAUCAGCCCUGAGGCAUGGUUCGGGGAGAAAAAUGGUUUAUUUUGAACUUAUUAGAACAUGGAUCCAAUUAAAACGGAGACCGAGUGUGCUUCCCACACAGGAAUGUUGCACAUACCUAAUUGACUAACAAUGGAAGUGAGGGCGAAUGACUGAGGCCAGCCUUUUUUUUCUUUUUUUGUAGGGGAACAUUUUAAUAACCAAGAACAUUCCAUUUAGGAGAAGAGUGUGGCUUAUAAGCAUGCCAGAGCAUCUCUGUAGUUUGCUUCUGCUGUAAAACCAGAAUGUGGAGAAGGACCAGCAUUCACAGGGGACGAUAUGGGGAAGGGAGAAGUAACGUUAACCCCUUUAUUCUGACAACAUGUGGAUUAAAAAAAAAAACUCUCUGCAGAGAAGUUCUGGGAUUGUUCCUCUCAUCUAAACAAGCUUGUUACUUAGUCAUUAUAAAUGUAAGUGGACUGUGCGUUCUUGAACUGUAUCAGCAAUGAAUAGGGAAAAGAUGAGUUCUGCUCUUCUGAGUUCCAGCGGAGCCAUUGCAUUGGCUCGAAUGGACGCUAGACAGACAUCAGAUAUUUGGAAGGUUACACUGCAAAUCACAGGGCAGCCUUUGCUUAAUCUUCACAAAAGCAACACUGAUAGCUAGCCCUUUUAAAGUAAAAUGUUACUGGAAGUCUUUCCACCACCCCUUCUUUGUGAGAACAGAAAUCUGGCUUAAUGUGCAUACUGCUAUACCACUUGGGCUCUGUGCUUAAUUUAUGAGUAAUAAGGGUCACUUUGUCUUUCUCUUUCCUGAAAUGCAUGUCUCCGUGUCUUUGCUCCUUUCCCUCCAGUAGUUUGUUCUGCCUCAGUGCACCGAGUGUCACAGCACGAGCAGGUGGUAAGUGCUGCAAAGUGCCAUGCUAUCUGUUUUCCCACCCAGAAGCUGCCUCUUGUGUCACUAAGUUUUCCACAAGGCUUUUUUUGCAACUUGCUAUGUGUUUUUCCAGAGCUAAUUUUUUCUCCAGGACCCAGUGAUUUUUCUUUGUCAGCCUUUAAAAUCGACUGUAAUACAAGUCUACAAGAAACUCAGUUUUCACUAAUCCUCAAAAAGCGUUGUUGAGCUCUGCACAAUUUGCAGAUUCUUCAGCACUUUAAAAACUACUUGGUAUAGUGCAUCUAACUGCCAAAGACAGCUGCUUAUGCCUCAGUAUAUACUUUCAUGGUAUAUCUUGCUUGCAUCUUUCAGCAGUUUUCUAGUUUUGUUACAGCUCAGUCUCGCAGCUAUGCGUGUUCCUCUGAUGGCAGGGCCUGCAGCACUGGAUUAAAAACAGUAGCAGGUUCUAAAUAAGUCGAUAUUGUUACUUGAAACUUGAUACUUUUUUUUCUCAAUAAACUAAUGAUUGGUGGCUGAUACUAGUGAAAGUGCCCAGUCUAGUUGUUACUCAUCUUUCCUCCUAACUGUGAAAGCGAACCUAAGUCUGUGCAACUUUGAAUAGGAUUUGUGGUUGAUGAAUGUAGAACUGGUUUUGGGUAACAUUAUUAGUUCAAAGAAAAUAAGAAUCACCUCUUUAUAAUUGUCCUAAACUCAAACCAAAUUUUGGCUUUUUUGAAGUAUGCGGGCAUGUUUUGUUUGCUUAAUCUUGGCAUACUUGCCUUAUGCUGGGGCAAAAAAAGAAACCUCAAACCAAACAACUUUCUUCAAAAUUAAGAGGCUUUCCUCUUCUUGGUAAACAAGCCACCAUUCUUUAACUGGCUGCAUUUGUUAUUUGUGUCAUAUAGAAGGGGGUUGCACAACAAACAAAUGUUCUUAAUUUACAAAUGAUCCAAUGUUUUAUUCAGA